rnacentral:rRNA from 1 species
AUGAACGCUGGCGGCGUGCCUAAUACAUGCAAGUCGAGCGAACAGACGAGGAGCUUGCUCCUCUGACGUUAUCGGCGGACGGUUGAGUAACACGUGGAUAACCUACCUAUAAGACUGGGAUAACUUCGGGAAACCGGAGCUAAUACCGGAUAAUAUAUUUAACCGCAUGGUUCAAUAGUUAAAGACGGUUUUGCUGUCACUUAUAGAUGGAUCCCCGCCGCAUUAGCUAGUUGGUAAGGUAACGGCUUACCAAGGCAACGAUGCGUAGACGACCUGAGAGGGGGAUCGGCCACACUGGAACUGAGACACGGUCCAGACUCCUACGGGAGGCAGCAGUAGGGAAUCUUCCGCAAUGGGCGAAAGCAUGACGGAGCAACGCCGCGUGAGUGAUGAAGGUCUUCGGAUCGUAAAACUCUGUUAUUAGGGAAGAACAAAUGUGUAAGUAACUAUGCACGUCUUGACGGUACCUAAUCAGAAAGCCACGGCUAACUACGUG